rnacentral:rRNA from 1 species
AUGCAGUUCUGGAGCCGUCUUGCGGCGGCGCAGCCUAUUGUGUUCAAUGAACAAGCCAUAGUCGACAACCUUACUGAAGAUAACCUGACAAGCAUUUUUGCUAGCAGAAAGACAUGGAGGGACAAACAGGUGUACUUAGUCCAUGCUCAGGGCAUUGGUACGCUGGUUGCCAAGAAGUUCCAGAACGAGAACCCAGCACUGCAAGUGGACGAAAAUGUCAAGAACCGCUGCAAGUCGGAGAUGAACCUCUUAGCCAACAUCUGUCAUGACAACAUCAUCAAAGUCGUAGACCACAUUCGAAGGGAAGACGCGAUCAUGCUCGUUUACAGAUAUCCGGUGAACGGCAGCCUUCAAUCUUGGCUGCACCAACCGAUGGGUGCUGCUCAGCCGCUGAGCUGGCCAAAGAGGAGCAUCAUCGCCACUGGCGUGGCACAAGGGCUCUCCCACUUGCACCACGGAUGCAAUAAGCCUGUUGUCCACCACAACAUCAGCCCUAACAACAUCUUGCUUGAUCAUACUUUCAAGCCUGUGAUAGCCGGUUUUGAUGAUGCACAGAUGAACAUGGCCAGGCUCGGCCAACCGUUACCAAUCACUGAUCUGCCUCCUGGUAACUUUGGGUACGCAGCUCCAGAAUAUGGGAACACGACAAACCCUAUGACGGAGAAGGUAGACACUUACAGCUAUGGUGUGCUGCUGCUGGUGAUUGUCACGGGGCAGGAGUCCAGUGGAGCUGGAGCAGAUGGUCAUUUGGCGAAUUGGGCACGGAACUGUUAG